GUAGUCUGCAACCCGACUACAUGAAGCUGGAAUCGCUAGUAAUCGCGGAUCAGAAUGCCGCGGUGAAUACGUUCCCGGGUCUUGUACACACCGCCCGUCACACCAUGGGAGUCGGAAAUGCCCGAAGUCUGUGACCUAACCGAGAGGGAGGAGCAGCCGAAGGCAGGUCUGAUGACUGGGGUGAAGUCGUAACAAGGUACC
rnacentral:rRNA from 1 species